GGGCGUAAAGCGCAUGCAGGUGGUUUGUUAAGUCAGAUGUGAAAGCCCGGGGCUCAACCUCGGAACUGCAUUUGAAACUGGCGGACUAGAGUACUGUAGAGGGGGGUAGAAUUUCA
rnacentral:rRNA from 1 species